CCUGCUCAAUGAAUAUUUAAAUAGCCGCAAUUUUAUGUGCUAAGGUAGCAUAAUCACUUGUUUUUUAAUUAAAAACUAGAAUGAAAGGUAUAACGUUUUAAUUUUUUUAUUAUAAAAAUAAAUUUAAAUUAUAUCUAAACAUAAAAAUAUGUUUAUAAAAAAAAUAGACGAUAAGACCCUAUUGAAUUUUACUAUUAUGUUUAGCUGGGGCAGCUAAUUAAAUAUUAUUUUAAUUAAUUUGCUUUAAAAUAAAUACUUCCAGUAUAAUUGAUUAUUUAAUUAAAUUACCAUAGGGAUAACAGCAUAAUAUUUUUUAAAAGUUCUUAUUAAAAAAAAUGUUUAUGACCUCGAUGUUGAAUUAUUUUACUUUAUUUACGCAAUAGUAAUAAAAGUAGGUCUGUUCGACCUUUAAUAUAUUACA
rnacentral:rRNA from 1 species